rnacentral:rRNA from 1 species
CUGACGGUGGUGGAAAGUUCCGGCGGUGAAGGAUGAGCUCGCGGCCUAUCAGCUUGUUGGUGAGGUAAUGGCUCACCAAGGCUUCGACGGGUAGCCGGCCUGAGAGGGUGACCGGCCACACUGGGACUGAGACACGGCCCAGACUCCUACGGGAGGCAGCAGUGGGGAAUAUUGGACAAUGGGCGAAAGCCUGAUCCAGCAACGCCGCGUGAGGGAUGACGGCCUUCGGGUUGUAAACCUCUUUCAGCAGGGACGAAGCGAAAGUGACGGUACCUGCAAAAGAAGCACCGGCCAACUACGUGCCAGCAGCCGCGGUAAUACGUAGGGUGCGAGCGUUGUCCGGAAUUAUUGGGCGUAAAGGGCUCGUAGGCGGUUUGUCACGUCGGGAGUGAAAACUCGGGGCUCAACCCCGAGCUUGCUUCCGAUACGGGCUAACUAGAGGUAUGCAGGGGAGAACGGAAUUCCUGGUGUAGCGGUGAAAUGCGCAGAUAUCAGGAGGA